GAACCUCUCCAUGAAAGAACCAUCGUUGACAAAUAAGCUAGAAUCUGUUGGCUUCUCCAUUAGGAAAAAAACCAAUUUUUUUCUUUUCUGCCAGCUGUAACUGCUCAACAAGCACUCUUACAAUAGAUUCAGAUAUUGAAUGGGUUUUUUUUACUGUAAACAAAUAUUCAGAUACUAAAUGGUUUUGUUAUCACUUCUUUCCUUAAUGUUCUGUAAGUGAACAUCACAUUUACAUUCCAAGUUGCAUUCUCAAAUCCAUCGUUGAAAUCAGAAAAGAAAAUGUAGAAUUCAAUAUAAAAGAAAAGGAAAGCAGGUUGUUCAUUCCCCUGAGAUUUUUUAGCAUCAGCAACAAGACCGUGCAGGAGAGGGAUUAGGUAUGUUUGAUAGACUGGAAAAGUAAACCAGGACAGGAAAGGUAAAUUUUCCUCCGACCAGCUUAUAGAAAGUCAAGGAUCCCCUCCUGGACUUCUUAACACGUUAGUGAAGUCGUAGGACUCGGAAGAUGUAGGCAUAUAGCUAAGCACGUUCUUCUUAAUUUUAGAUUAUUAUACUCGUUCAGGCAAAAACAUAUGCUAGAAUGUUUGUUUUUCCUUUGUGUACUUCACAUAUCCAAAAAAAAUGAAAGGCUUAUAAGUUAUAACUUUCUAGACAUUCAUAUGGAUGCAGAUAGGAACUUAGACAAAGUACAAGUCCAAUACUUAUAAUCCCUCAACCAUACACGAAUUCACCUUACCUUCAAAAGCUGUAAUAGACAGUUUUAAAUAUCUCUUAUAACUCCACAUGUCAGAUCAUAUUAAAAAAUCAGCUGUUGCUCAUCUACAGUUGCCUUGUAAUCAAUCAGUUAUUCAACACCAUAGCAGCAAAAACAAUCAGGUAACGAUUGCGAGUAAUGUUACUUCCAACUCCUUCUUAAAGUGCUCACUUGGAUCUGUCUGAAAAAAGUUUUUGGUUCUAAAAAGAAAAUAAGGCUAGUAGAAGUUGAAGACAUGUUUAGCUCGUUGUAGUUUUAUAAGAUUUGCUAGUGAUUUGUUAGUGAAUGACGA
rnacentral:misc_RNA from 1 species